UACCAGCACCCCGAGUGGUCGGGACGUUUAUUGGGCCUAAAGCAUCCGUAGCCGGUUCUACAAGUCUUCCGUUAAAUCCACCUGCUUAACAGAUGGGCUGCGGAGGAUACUACAGGGCUAGGAGGCGGGAGAGGCAAGCGGUACUCAGUGGGUAGGGGUAAAAUCCUCUGAUCCACUGAAGACCACCAGUGGCGAAGGCGGCUUGCCAGAACGCGCUCGACGGUGAGGGAUGAAAGCUGGGGGAGCAAACCGG
rnacentral:rRNA from 1 species